rnacentral:rRNA from 1 species
AAUCCCCGUGCCCCUUUCGGCGCGUGGGAAUUGUAGUCUUGGCGGGUUAACGGUGCUGGCUUGCAGAUAAUUUGAUGGAAAUCAAGGUCAGAGAGGGUGAAAAUCCCGUGUUCUGCGGCGUCGGCACCACUGUUUGCCCGUUUUCUUCRAGUAGCGUUGCUUGGGAAUGCAGCGUGAAGCGGGAGGUAGAACCCUUCCAAAGCUAAAUACUGGCGAGAGACCGAUAGCGAACAAGUACCGUGAGGGAAAGAUGAAAAGCACUUUGGGAAGAGAGUUAAACAGUAUGUGAAAUCGUUGGAGGCAAGCGAAUCGCUGGGCAUAUGGCGCGGUUCUGUGGCUGGGCACUCGUGUCGGCGUGCGCGCUCUUCGAGCGUGCCCCUGGCGCUCCCGGUGCCCGGCUCUGGGACGAGGUUUUGGCGCCUUGUAGGGCACUGCGAUCCGACCCGUCUUGAAACACGGACCAAGGAGUCUAACAUGUGUGCGAGUGCUCGGGUGAUCGAAACCCCUGCGCGAAGGCAACUCAAAUCGCGGUAACGGCCUCGGUCGUGCCCCGCGGGAAGUGUACUAUUCCCUAUCAAGAGCAUGUAUGUUGGGACCCGAAA